GCUUAGAAAGUUUACUUAAGAAUUUUGUCUGAUGUACAGCCCUGUGUACAGAAUCUCACAUGCUUAUGGGCGUGAGUGGGUGAUCAUUUUAAAAAGAAAUUCCCCCACUCCUCGCCCAUGUAUUGGGAGUAUUCUUUACUGGCCUUGUGCAGCAAUCAAAGUCCUUUACUUAAAGCUCAACUAUCCGGUCCGGUCACUGAAAUACAACAGACUCCUCAAACAAUCAUCAAAUACCGAUUUCUCUAUUUCUUCCACCCAACUACAAAAGAUUCAAAGAGAAUUUAGUAUAAUUAGUCAAAAAAGGGGAGAAAAUUCGAAGUGGAAACAGCUGCUAGAAGAAGAGGAGGUGUUUGGGAAGGGCUCUAUGGAAUAGAGUGCUUAUGCGCCGCAACUCCGUCUACGUUACCUUCGCGACUUCGUCGUCGCCGAUGCAGAGCCGGUGCCUUCCUCGGCGAACGAUUUAGUAUCUAUACAUUUCCACUUGUAGUUAUGUUUAUGGGUAGAUUAACUCGAUUGAAUUUGGAUCUAGGAAAUAAACAAUUCCUUUUGAUAUUUGAUUAAUUUCUCAAAAGAAGUUUUGAUGUUAACCCAUGGAGUGUGAUUCGUUUUCAGAUUUCUGUUCUUUUGCCGCUUUCUCAUGUUUUUGUAAUCUAGAUUUUGGGUGUUUUUGUUUUUGUUUUUGUUGACAUCGCAGGCGGUGGACUAUGGGGUUCACAGGCUGUGGGAGCACAACAAUGUUGGGAUGAAAUGUAGAAACGCUACGAGGAUAUUCUUGUUUGGGACAGAGACCAACCGAAUGAAGUAGUGUAUUCAACUCUUGAUCUCUCUUGGUUUUCUUAUCCUUGAUCUAUGUAAUUAUGCAUUUUUUUAAUCUCUUAAUAAUUGUAACCCUAUUGCUCCUGCUAUGUAGAUAGAUGUUAAAUAGCAUUAUUCUUUUGGUUAUUGUCGAGAUACCUUGAGAAUUAAUAUCAUUUUUGUUUGUAGACA